AGAGUUUGAUCCUGGCUCAGGAUGAACGCUGGCGGCGUGCUUAACACAUGCAAGUCGAACGGUGAAGCAGAGCUUGCUCUGUGGAUCAGUGGCGAACGGGUGAGUAACACGUGAGCAAUCUGCCCCUGACUCUGGGAUAAGCGCUGGAAACGGCGUCUAAUACCGGAUACGAGCUGCGACCGCAUGGUCAGUAGCUGGAAAGAAUUUCGGUCAGGGAUGAGCUCGCGGCCUAUCAGCUUGUUGGUGAGGUAAUGGCUCACCAAGGCGUCGACGGGUAGCCGGCCUGAGAGGGUGACCGGCCACACUGGGACUGAGACACGGCCCAGACUCCUACGGGAGGCAGCAGUGGGGAAUAUUGCACAAUGGGCGCAAGCCUGAUGCAGCAACGCCGCGUGAGGGAUGACGGCCUUCGGGUUGUAAACCUCUUUUAGCAGGGAAGAAGCGAAAGUGACGGUACCUGCAGAAAAAGCGCCGGCUAACUACGUGCCAGCAGCCGCGGUAAUACGUAGGGCGCAAGCGUUAUCCGGAAUUAUUGGGCGUAAAGAGCUCGUAGGCGGUCUGUCGCGUCUGCUGUGAAAACCCGAGGCUCAACCUCGGGCCUGCAGUGGGUACGGGCAGACUAGAGUGCGGUAGGGGAGAUUGGAAUUCCUGGUGUAGCGGUGGAAUGCGCAGAUAUCAGGAGGAACACCGAUGGCGAAGGCAGAUCUCUGGGCCGUAACUGACGCUGAGGAGCGAAAGGGUGGGGAGCAAACAGGCUUAGAUACCCUGGUAGUCCACCCCGUAAACGUUGGGAACUAGUUGUGGGGUCCAUUCCACGGAUUCCGUGACGCAGCUAACGCAUUAAGUUCCCCGCCUGGGGAGUACGGCCGCAAGGCUAAAACUCAAAGGAAUUGACGGGGACCCGCACAAGCGGCGGAGCAUACGGAUUAAUUCGAUGCAAGGCGAAAGAUCUUACCAAGGCUUGACAUAUAGAGGAAACGUCUGGAAACAGUCGCCCCGCAAGGUCUCUAUACAGGUGGUGCAUGGUUGUCGUCAGCUCGUGUCGUGAGAUGUUGGGUUAAGUCCCGCAACGAGCGCAACCCUCGUUCUAUGUUGCCAGCACGUAAUGGUGGGAACUCAUGGGAUACUCCCGGGGUCAACUCGGAGGAAGGUGGGGAUGACGUCAAAUCAUCAUGCCCCUUAUGUCUUGGGCUUCACGCAUGCUACAAUGGCCGGUACAAAGGGCUGCAAUACCGUGAGGUGGAGCGAAUCCCAAAAAGCCGGUCCCAGUUCGGAUUGAGGUCUGCAACUCGACCUCAUGAAGUCGGAGUCGCUAGUAAUCGCAGAUCAGCAACGCUGCGGUGAAUACGUUCCCGGGUCUUGUACACACCGCCCGUCAAGUCAUGAAAGUCGGUAACACCUGAAGCCGGUGGCCCAACCCUUGUGGAGGGAGCCGUCGAGGGUGGGAUCGGUAAUUAGGACUAAGUCGUAACAAGGUAGCC
rnacentral:rRNA from 1 species